rnacentral:rRNA from 1 species
UACGGGGGGGGCAAGCGUUGUUCGGAAUUACUGGGCGUAAAGGGCUCGUAGGCGGCCAACUAAGUCAGACGUGAAAUCCCUCGGCUUAACCGGGGAACUGCGUCUGAUACUGGAUGGCUUGAGGUUGGGAGAGGGAUGCGGAAUUCCAGGUGUAGCGGUGAAAUGCGUAGAUAUCUGGAGGAACACCGGUGGCGAAGGCGGCAUCCUGGACCGAAUUCUGACGCUUGAGUGAG